ACAAACCCAAAACUUAAAACAAAAAAGUUGAGAGAAACCAAAAAGGAAAAAUCAUGCACAACAUAGACAUGCACAGCAAAUAAGAAAAGUGUGAGACAAAGAGAAAACAAAAGAAAAGACAGAAACGGGUGACAACCAGAAAAAGAGUAAAAAUAGAAGAAAAAGAAAGGAAAAAGUGGAGGUCGGGUAUCCGGUUGAGUUUUCGGUCAUGAUGUGAUUGCUUCUUUAUUCUGUUUAAUUCAUCAUACAGGUUUUUAUCAAAUUUUGUACUAUUUUUUUUUUUUUAUAAAUAUUGAUAUAAAUUGAAGCAUGAAUGAAGUUAUUUUUAAUGACUUAUUAUAUAAUUUAGUACGUUUAAUUUGUUAUUGUUAUGUAGUUCAUGCUCUAUGACUUUAUUUGUAAUUCUUUAGUUGUUUACGAAAUAAUAUUAAUUAGGCUAGUUUGAAUUGUAAACGAGAUAAUUGUAAAAAUUAUUAGCGUUAAAAAGAUAUAACGUUAUACUCGGUUAUAAACUAGAAUUUUAGGCUACAUGCAAGCAAAAACAAAAACAGAAAACGAUUAAGAAUGCAUUAGUUACAUAAUUUUCAUGCACUUGCAUAUGCAAAAGGAAAAGUUGGAAGGAUAGAAAAAGGGAAAAAAAAAAGGGAAAACAAGAAAAGCAGUAAAAGCAGUAAGAAAAGAGUGAAACAGUUUAACGAAAAAAAAGAAAGAAAACUCGCAUGAUUUUAUAAUUUCUUUUUUUCAUGUUAAUUUAGUUAUAAUAAUUUUGUUAAAUGUAACACGUAAUCAUAUUUUUAUUUAUUUAUUGUUGUUGUUAUUAAAUUUGUUAUGAUAAUUUUGUUGAAAGUAACUUUAUUAAUUAAUUUUAUUACGUGAUUAUGUCAAUUUAGCUUUUAACUAAUUUUGUUAAGUUUAUAUAUUAAUAAUUUGUUCACAAGAGUAAGAUUAAUCCUUUUCUUUCAAAAAGAUUAAAUUUUAGGAAUAAUAUUAAAUUUAACAUAAUAUAGGUAAAUUUGUAUAUUUUAUUUAUUUUAUUAACAUAAUUUAAUAAUUAUUUAUUGAUUUAAUUAAUUAUGUUAAAUGAAUUUUGCUUUAAUUUAUUAUUUAGAGUUUAGGUAAAUUUUAGACGUGUUUUAAAAUAUCCUUCUCUAUUAAGAACAUGAUAUACGUAUCUUUUGAGACAUUUUAAAAUUCAAGGAUGCAAUAAUGCACUUUGACAAAUUUUUUUCUAAAAAUUAACUUUCACCGAUUUGUUUAAUAUAAAAUAAAUAGAUAGAUUUUAGAUAUUAAAAUGAGCGAAACAAGGCCUUAACAUAAUUUGUCAAAAUAGUUUAAGUCAAGAUAAGUCAAUAAAAGCGACCGUGCUUGAACCACAGGUCUCGAGGGGUGCCUCAUACCUUCCUCUCGAUCAACAGAAUUCCUUACUCAAUUUUCUAUUUUUGCAGACCAUAAUAAAGAGUCAUUUCAUUUUGAUUAGGGAUUCAAAAAGGUGACUUGGAACACCAUAACUCAAUUCCAAGGGGAGACUCUGUUAAUAAACUAAUACCUUUUCAAUACUGUCACUUUAAUUGAAAAAAUCUUUCGACUCGACACCCUCGAGCGAAAAAAGGGGUGUGAACAAAAUUACUUAAAAGCUAAAUUGACAUAAUCACAUAAUAAAAUUAAUUAAUAAAGUUACUUUCUACAAAAUUAUCAUAGCAAAUCUAACAACAACAACAAUAAAUAAAUAAAAAUAUGAUUACGUAUUACAUUUAACAAAAUUAUUAUAACUAAAUUAACAUAAAAAAAAUUAUAAAAUCAUGCAAGUUUUCUUUCUUUUUCCCUUAAACUGUUUCACUCUUUCCUUACUGCUUUUCUUGUUUUCCCUUUUUUUUUCCUUCUGUCCUUACAACUUAUCUUUUCCUUUUGCAUAUGCAUGUGCAUGAAAAUUAUGUAACUAAUGCAUUCUUAAUCUUUUUCUGUUUUUGUUUUUGCCUGCAUGUAGCCUAAAAUUCUAGUUUAUAACCGAGCAUAACGUUAUAUCUUUUUAAUGCUAAUAAGUUUAAUAAUUAUCUCGUUUACAAUUCAAACUAGCCUAAUUAAUAUGACCUGAUUCCCUUAUAACCCGGGAUAAGUAGACGGUCCAAAAUCAGGACUUGGUCACAUCUUUUAUUUUAUUUUAUUUUUCUUCACUUUUUGAAUAACCGAAAGGUCAAAAAAUCAUCUCUUUGUCUACUUAUUUGUAUGAAAACUCUUCGAGAUUUCAAACAAAGAGGGGCAAAAUGUAGGCACGUGAUUUUUGACCCUCCCCCAAGUGUAAUAUAUAUAUUUUUUGAUAUUAAAUAUUUAUAUUUGGUCUAAUAUUAUUUAAAUUCUUAUUUUAUUAUAAUAAAUUUUUAGUUAAAAAAUAAUUUUAAUUUUGAGGUGUUUUAUUUUAUUUUAUUCUAUUUUUUUAAAAAAAUAAUACAAUUUUUUUAAAAAUAUAUUUUCUUUUUAAAUUUUAAACAAAUAAGUUAGUAGUUUUAGUACUAUCUUAAUUAUAUUUAUUUUAACUAUUUUUAAACUUUUAUUAUAUUUUUUUAAAUUAUUAAAAUUAAUUAGUUAUUAUUUAUUAUUUUAAUUUGUUAUUAUUAUUGUCUUCUUUAAGAAAAAGAAAGAGAAAAAGAAAAAGAUUUAAAAUUUGAAAACUUUCUUCUUAUCCUAAACUACCCAACCACCCCCUAAUUUAUCUCAACCUCCUCAACUUCCCAACCCCCCUACACACUAUAAGACACACGGACACGGACAACAACAAAAAAAAAAGGAAACACAAACCCAAAAAUUAUCACAAAAAAGUUGAGAGAAACCAAAAAGGAAAAACCAUGAACAACAUAAACAUGCACAACAAAUAAGAAAAGAGUGAGACACAAAGAGAAAACAAAAGAAAAGACAGAAACGGGUGACAACCAGAAAAGGAGUAAAAAUGGAAGAAAAAGAAAGGAAAAAGUGGAGGUCAGGUAUCCAAUUGAGUUUUCGGUCAUGGUGUGAUUGCUUCUUUAUUCUGUUUAAUUCAUCAUACAGGUUUUUAUCAAAUUUUAUACUAUUUUUUUUUUAUAAAUAUUGAUAUAAAUCGAAGCAUGAAUGAAGUUAUUUUUAAUGACUUAUUAUAUAAUUUAGUAUGUUUAAUUUGUUAUUUUUAUGUAGUUCAUGCUCUAUGAUUUUAAUUGUAAUUCUUUAGUUGUUUACGGAAUAAUAUUAAUUAGGCUAGUUUGAAUUGUAAAUGAGAUAAUUGUUAAACUUAUUAGCGUUAAAAAGAUAUAACGGUAUACUCGAUCAUAAACUAGAAUUUUAGGCUACAUGCAAGCAAAAACAAAAACAGAAAAAGACUAAGAAUGCAUUAGCUACAUAAUUUUUAUGCACAUGUAUAUGCAAAAGGAAAAGUUGGAAGGAUAGAAAAAGAAGAAAAAAAAAAGGAAAACAAGAAAAGCAGUAAGGAAGGAGUGAAACAGUUUAAGGGAAAAAGAAAGAAAACUUGCAUGAUUUUAUAAUUUUUUUUUCAUGUUAAUUUAGUUAUAAUAAUUUUGUUAAAUGUAACACAUAAUUAUAUUUUUUUAUUUAUUUAUUGUUAUUGUUGUUAAAGUCGUUAUGAUAAUUUUGGUGAAAGUAACUUUAUUAAUUAAUUUUAUUGCGUGAUUAUGUCAAUUUAGCUUUUAACUAAUUUUGUUAAGUUUAUAUAUUAAUAAUUUGUUCGCAAGAGUAAGAUUAAUCCUUUUCUUUCAAAAAGAUUAAUUUUUGAGAAUAAUAUUAAAUUUAACAUAAUAUAGGUAAAUUGGUAUAUUUUAUUAUUUAUUAACAGAAUUUAAUAAUUGUUUAUUGAUUUAAUUAAUUAUGUUAAAUGAAUUUUGCUUUAAUUUAUUAUUUAGAUUUUAGGUAAAUUUUAGACGUCUUUUAAAAUAUCCGUCUCAAUUAAGAAUACGGUAUACGUAUCUUUUGAGAUAUUUUAAAAUUCAAGGAUGCAAUAAUGCACUUUGACAAAUUUUUCUUAAAAUUAACUUUCACCGAUUUGUUUAAUAUAAAAUAAAUAAAUAGAUUUUAGAUAUUAAAAUGAGCGAAACAAGGUCUUAAAAUAAUUUAUCAAAAUUGUUUAAGUCAAGAUAAGUCAAUAAAAGCGACCGUGCUUAAACCACGGGACUCGAGGGUGCCUUAUACCUUCUCCUCGGUCAACAGAAUUCCUUACCCGGUCUUCAUUUUUGCAAACCAUAAUAAAGAGUCAUUUCCUUUUGAUUAGGGAUUCAAAAAAGUGACUUGGAACACCAUAACUCAAUUUCAAGCGACGACUCUGUUAAUAAACUAAUCCCUUUUCAAUACCGUCACUUUCAUUGAAAAAACCCUUCGACUCGACACCCUCGAGCGAAAAAAGGGGUGUGACAUCCUUGAUGACUAAUAAGAAUUCAAGCUUUUUAUAUUGACUUAUUCUUGCUUUAAUUAUUUUGUGCUUAUUGUCGCUUAUUUACCGCUUUGAUAUUGAUUGAACUGUAUUAUAUACUGCCUUCUCUUACACACCCCCUCUGAGUCUCUGAAAUAGGAUAGAAGGAAUGCAGCGCAUGCAUCCUACAUUCUUUUUGAGAUAGCCAGAGUGUCAAGGCACCUGGUGAAGGAUUAUAGUCACACAUGUUAGGCAGGGUUAGGAUCGGCAACGAAGGCGGUGUUGCCCUGCUACUGACCAAGUUGUCCGACGACUCUGUUAAUAAACUAAUCCCUUUUCAAUACCGUCACUUUCAUUGAAAAAACCCUUCGACUCGACACCCUCGAGCGAAAAAAGGGGUGUGACAUCCUUGAUGACUAAUAAGAAUUCAAGCUUUUUAUAUUGACUUAUUCUUGCUUUAAUUAUUUUGUGCUUAUUGUCGCUUAUUUACCGCUUUGAUAUUGAUUGAACUGUAUUAUAUACUGCCUUCUCUUACACACCCCCUCUGAGUCUCUGAAAUAGGAUAGAAGGAAUGCAGCGCAUGCAUCCUACAUUCUUUUUGAGAUAGCCAGAGUGUCAAGGCACCUGGUGAAGGAUUAUAGUCACACAUGUUAGGCAGGGUUAGGAUCGGCAACGAAGGCGGUGUUGCCCUGCUACUGACCAAGUUGUCCCUCCCCAUCUCAAGUGUCCGCUCGAGUAAGCCAGUCUAGACACCUAUUCCUAUUAGACUUAAACUUAGAAGAACUGAAAACUCAGAAUCUAGUUAUCCCUAUUAAGUGCCGCUUUAUUUGCAUCAUAUGUAUUUGAUUUAGCGGGACUUAGCACAGGAGCCGGAUCUGUCUAGGAUAGGUAACCUACUUUAUAAAGAUCAACAUUGCAUCCUACGUGCUCUUUGACAUUGGUUUGGAAGGCUAUUUGUUUGUUGAUCAACUUUAGGCAAUUUUAAAAUGCAAGGGACUAAAUUAUCCUCACAUUUAGUGAAUCAUUUUUUCAAAAAAAAAAAAAAUUAAAGAAGGAAAAAUUUUAGUAACAUGGUUUUACAGUCUUCAUGAACUACGAGGGUCUGAUUCUCAUCUUAGUGGGAUACGUAGGAAGUCCUUUCCAGGAUACGACCCUAUCUUUCGAAACAUUAUUCAUAGAUUUAUUGGGGAAUAUUUUGAAAAUAUGAUUACUUUCAUAAUUAUUUUUCUUAUUCUGAAGUUCAAUUUUUUUUAUAUAUAUCUUAAUAGCCCUAAAUCUUUAGGGAUCAUGAGGCUAAAUUUUUAUAAAAUAAAAAAUAUAUAUAAAUCUUAAUAGCCUUGAACCUUUAGGGGUCUUGAUGCUAAGUUUUGUACGACAUAUGUUUCAAGAACUACGCACACCUGAUUCUCACAUUGAUGAGAUACGUAGGCAGUCCUUCAUGGAUUCGGUGAUUUUAAAGAAAAAAAAUAUAUAUUUGUGUUUCCUUCUAAACAAAUAAAGAAGAGAGUUUUUGAUCUGUAUAUAAAAAUAAAUUAAUUUAUUUUCAAAUAAAAAUAUGUUUUUAUCAUUAUUAAUAAAUUCAAAAAAAAAACAAAAACUUUCUCAUUUCUCAAAUUAAAAGAAAAAUGUACUUUUUUUCGUAUCCCCAAUUUUCAAAAACUAUGCACACCUGAUUCUCAUCUUAAUGAGAUACACAGGCAGUCUUUCAUGGAUUCGGUGGUCUUAAAAAAUAAUUUUGAACUCUAACACAUUAGUUCUCUCCAAAAUCAAUAUAGUAUUAAGGUGGUUGGUUUGUGGCUAAGUUGGCUUCUAAUCAAUGCAACAGAGGUUCAAAGAAAUGAGCAAGAUGACCUACAAAAAAUGGUAUAUGGUCUGAGAUGAGGUGGUGUAGAUUGUUAGAAAUGAGGAAUAAGAAGAAAUGGCUAGAAAGGUGAAAGUUUGAAGCAAAAUAUGAGAAACAUGCAAGUACUUGGAGAGAAAAGAGAGUUUUUUAACGAGAAUUUGUACAUGUUUCAUGAUGUUCACUUGCCUCUAGAGUCCAAAAAACCAAAGUCGGACAUGUACGAGGGUAGGAGUAAGGGGAAAGAUAAAUUGCUGAUAGCUUACUUUGGAGAGAGUUUAACGGUGAUAAAUUCAGAAUGGUUGGGACAAAAAAAAUAGAUGAUGUCACAAUGAGUGUGGAGACUCUAUUAACGCCAACGUGCAAAUCAGUGGCUAAGUUGUCAGGCUGAGCAAUUGAAAUGUCACCCCUCUCCCUACUAGAAAGAAGUCUAGUAGUUUGUUUUCUUUUCUUUUCUGUUACCCGAAUUAUUUUAGGGUUUUAGUUUAGGACCUAUCUUGUUUGAUUUUCUUAUCAUUUUUGUUCAAACCCUUCUAUCUUUCUGCUAACAAAAUGUGUGUCCCUUUUGCUUUUAUUUCUCAAUAUAUAUUGUCUUUUUUCUUCUUCAAAGAGAUCUUUCUAUGGUGAUUCUGGUAAUAUGAUAAGCAUGUUGAAUUUUUAGCCAGAUCUUAAAAUCCAAUCUUAUGUUGAAACAUUCAAUCAAGAACCUAGAGUUGAAAAAAAAUGUAAGAAAAAUAAGUAAAGUGUUGAGAUGUUUUGGGGACCUAGUUACAUCCUCACUUGAAUAUUUUGAGGAAAUCACUUUGCAAAUAAAAAAUGACUUGAUCUUCAAUGAGAAGGUUCAACUCAAGAAUUUUGAAUGAGAUCAAUCAGAGGAUAUAUAGUUUCUAUUGUCAAAAGAAGCAAAAAGAAGUUAGCUAAAAAAAAGAGUCAUCUGUUGUGAGGAAAGUACAAUACAAGUAGACCUAUAUGGUUUACAAGUUUAAAAGAAGUGACACACGUGCAUGUGCAUAGUCACGGUCAAUAUUGAAAAGAUGUGUAUGAUCUUCAUGUUUCAUUCCUAGAUUGCAUGUUAUGUACUUGCGUUUUUACGGAUUGAUAUGACGAAGACAUUUCAUUCUGCUAUCCAAAUGUUGUGUCAUCCUUUGUUAUUGUUCCUUUUGAGCUUUUUUUUAAUUUCUUUUAUAUCCCUCUUUUGGAAUCAAAAGAGUCUGAAAAAAAAUUCAAAAAAAAGUGUCAAGAAAAAAUAGAGUCGGAAAAAAUAUCUCUCUAAAAAAAAGAAGAAAAAGAGAAAAAAGUCAAAAAAAAAUCAAGAAAAAGAACAAGUCUUCCUGAACUACGUUUGACCUGAUUUUUGCUAUGACAAGAUACGUAGGUAGCCCUACUCCGGGGUUCGGUCCAACCAAAAGAAAUUCAAAUUACCCAGAAUGAAAUGGAAUUGGAGCAAAAAUCUAUUUCAUUAAAAGAAUCGAUUCCAAAAGUUAUAUGCUUUACCCAAUGAUUAUGUAAAUUUUUUAGCCUCAUGUUGCCCUUUCUUUCUAACCCUAUUCAAAAGCUAAGUUACAACCAAAGAAAGACCUUUAGAUCAAUCUUUGAGAAUGUCAAAGCUAAACAUGUUAUGGGUGCAUGAUAUUUCAUAUUUUGGGUGAUUACUUAAAAAAAAUCAAGCAAAAGAACAAGAUUUCUGAACUACAUUUGACCUGAUUCUUGCUAUGACAAGAUACGUAGGCAGACCUACUCUGGGGUUCGGUCCAUCCAAAAAAAAUUUAAAUUACCCAGAAUGAAAUGAAACUGGGGCAAAGUUUAUUUCUUUAAAAGAAUCGAUUCCAAAAGUUGUAUGUUUCACCCAAUAUUAUGUAAAUUUUGAGCCUCAUGCCUCCCUUUCUUCCUAACCUUUCCAAAAACUAAGUUACAACCAAAGAAAUGUCAAGGCUAAACAUGUCAUGGGUGCAUGAUGUUUCGUAUGUUGGGCAUUAUUUUUCAAAAAAAAAAUGAAUGAUAAAAAAAAUGAAUGAGUAAAAAUGAGAGAGUCUUAUUGGUGAAAACCCUUUUGGGCACCAUAAGGCGACAAUGAUCUGAAAAAGAAAUAAAAAUGAGAUAGGCAUUAACAAAAACCCAUUGAGGUGUCACUAGCCGAAGGAGGAUUGUGAUCUAGAGGGAGCAUAUUCAAGAUUGAUUCCAUUUCAAACUCAAUAAGUGGACAAGAGCUGUAAUGAUUAGUGUGGGUAGAUCAGGUUGUUUAAUUCAAAAUGCAAGUCAUGAUUGCUGAAAUCGGCUACCACACCCAAAUAAAUUUUCUUCUGUCGUUUUAAAAAAAAUGCCUAUUGUUUUUUCCUUUUUUUUUAUUUUUCUAUUUUCUAUUUUUUGGUAUCUUUAUCAUCAAAUAAAAAUUAUUUUCAUUUUACUUGUGUCUCUGAGUCGAGUCCGUGUCAUAACAAGUGAGAAAAGAUUUCAAAACUAGCUACCAGUUUCUUCAAUUGCACAAAGCAAGACAAAAAUCCAACACGUGAAAGAGACAUAAUUAUGAGCCGAAAUAAGGCAUGCAAAGUUUUGUCAACAGACGAGUCUGGGAACUCAUGGAAAUACUAAGGUUUAAAGAGUUUAUUUGAGGAGCAUAGCAAAACAAAGAUACUGUGUUUGUUUUAGAGUCACUUCUGAUAAUCUGAGUUUAGGUCAAGGAUGCAGUAAGUCGGUGACAGAUGCUAAUGGAUGGAAGCACGAUUAAAUGUGACGAGGGCAAGAGUGAUAGCCACAGAAUCUACAGCCACAAACCUACCACCAUGUUUUUGAACUCACAAGUUUCCUUUGAUGAAACAGAAAAAAACAGAGCAUAAAUAUCAAGGGCUGCAAUGCAUCAUUUCCACAAAUGCAGGAAGCAAUAUUGCUGCACAGGUUUGAUAAUCAAAUUAUGAUAAAAAUUCAUCAUUCAACCCCUAGGAGACGCACUUCCUAGUCUGGAUAAUUCAAGUUUCGUUUCUUAGGUGAAGCACUUCCUAACUUGAACCAUCAUUUCUAGAAGACGCACUUUCUAGUCGAGUCAUUUCAUUCAAUCCCUAGGAGACGCACUUCCUAGUCAGGGUAUGUCAGUUUUUAUGUGUUAGGUAACAUACUUCCUAACUUGAACCUUCACUCCUAGAAGACGCACUUUCUAGUCAGGGUAUGUCAAUUUUUGUAUGUUAGAAGACUCAAUUCCUAGUCUGAAUAAGUCAGUUUUUAUUUGUUAGGUGAAGCACUUCCUAAAUUGAACCAUCACUCCUAGAAGACGCACUUUCUAGUAGAGUCAUUUCAUUCAAACCCUAGGAGAUGCACUUCCUAGUCUGGAUAAUUCAAGUUUCAUUUGUUAGGUGAUGUACUUCCUAACUUAAACCAUCACUCCUAGAAGGCGCACUUUCUAGUAGAGUCAUUUCAUUCAACCCCUAGGAUACGCACUUCAUAGACUAGAUAAUUCAUGUUUUAUUUGUUAGGUGAUGCGCUUCCUAACUUGAACCAUCACUCCUAGAAGACGCAUUUUAUAGUGGAGUCAUUUCAUUCAACCCCUAGGAGACGCACUUCCUAGUUUGGAUAAUUCAAGUUUCAUUUGUUAGGUGAUGCACUUCCUAACUUGAACCAUCACUCCUAUAAGAUGCACUUUCUAGUUGAGUCAUUUCAUUCAACCCCUGGAGAUGCACUUCUUAGUCUGGAUAAUUCCAGUUUCAUUUGUUAGGUGAUGCACUUUCUAACUUAAACCAUCACUCUUAGAAGACACACUUUCUAGUUGAGUUAUUUCAUUUAACCCCUAGGAGAUGCACUUCCUAGUCUGAAUAAGUCAGUUUUUAUUUGUUAGGUGAAGUACUUCCUAACUUGAACCAUCACUCCUAGAAGACACACUUUCUAGUCGAGUCAUUUCAUUUGACCCCUAGGAGACGCACUUCCUAGUCUGAAUAAGUCGGUUUUCAUUUGUUAGGUGAAGCACUUCCUAACUUGAAUAUUCACUCCUAGAAGACGGACUUUCUAGUCGAGUCCUUUAAUUUAACUCUUAGGAGACACACUUCCUAAUUUUGGUCAUCAAUUUUACUCUGACGAGAUGCAUUUCUUUAGCAAGGCUUUGAUUCACACUCUUUUUGUACUUUUCAAAAAUUAUAAUCUGACGAUGCUCGCAAAAUUUUCUAGUACAAACUGGGGCAAAAAUUUGGUACGUGUUUAUUAAUUUUACUUUCUGCUUAGGACCCUCUUGAAGAAUGGGACAGGACCCUCCUGAAGAAUGGGAAUUUAUGUUUUAUGCUCAGGACCCUCCUGAAGAAUGGGAAUUUAGUUUAUGUCUAGGAGCCUGCCUAAAGAACAGGGUGAAGAAAAAAAGAAAGUUCAGGAGCCCGCUUGAAG
rnacentral:lncRNA from 1 species